AAAAAAUAAAAAUAAAAAAAAAACCUAGACUAUCCCAAUAACAUAAUCCAACAGUAAGACCUAACCCCAUUACAUAUGAAGCCCAAGCAAGAAUUGUUUCUCCAACCAAACCAUAGAAAUUUUUGACCCAACAAUAAAACCUAAACCCAUUACAUAUGAAGCCCAAGCUAGAAUUGUUUCUCCAGCCAAACCAUAGAAAUUUUUGGCAAAACCAAAGUUGUGCCGCAACUCUCCAUCAAAUUGAUGCCAAGGAAUAAGGAAACUCAGAGGAGCGCCGUAAAAAGUCAUGAAAA
rnacentral:misc_RNA from 1 species